GUAGGGAAUAUUGGACAAUGGGGGCAACCCUGAUCCAGCGACGCCGCGUGCAGGAUGAAGGCCUUAGGGUUGUAAAGCUCUUUUGUCCGGGAAGAUAAUGACUGUACCGGAAGAAUAAGCCCCGGCUAACUUCGUGCCAGCAGCCGCGGUAAUACGAAGGGGGCUAGCGUUGUUCGGAAUCACUGGGCGUAAAGCGCACGUAGGCGGACCAUUAAGUCAGGGGUGAAAGCCUGGAGCUCAACUCCAGAACUGCCUUUGAUACUGAUGGUCUCGAGUAUGGAAGAGGUUGGUGGAACUGCGAGUGUAGAGGUGAAAUUCGUAGAUAUUCGCAAGAACACCGGUGGCGAAGGCGGCCAACUGGUCCAUUACUGACGCUGAGGUGCGAAAGCGUGGGGAGCAAACAGGAUUAGAUACCCCAGUAGUCC
rnacentral:rRNA from 1 species